AGAAAGCAAGACGCACUGAAGGAAUGGUAAAGAUAAAGCCAAAGAACAGGGAAGCGUUCUUGACCUCACCUACUUCAGCUGAAUUAAUUUUAGGUUUCUGUCAAAUAUAUUGGAGAUGAUUUGAACCAAUCAACGUUUGGGACAUCUGUGCAUUGGAUGAGUGGCAAUUUAACAAGGAGCUCAACUCUUCAGCAAAAGCUACUUGUAGCCUAUUGUACCCUAUUGACUGCAUUCCUAAGCAUAUUUAGGGAUGAAUUAUCAUGUAUCAGAUGGAGAGAAAGAGAGAAGGACAGGAAGAGACACCACAGCACUGAAGCUUCUGCCAUGGGAGCUGAGUCGUUCAC